rnacentral:rRNA from 1 species
GACAGAGGGUGCAAACGUUGUUCGGAAUUACUGGCGUAAAGCGCGUGUAGGCGGUUGGGCAAGUCGGAUGUGAAAGCCCAGGGCUCAACCCUGGAAGUGCAUUCGAUACUGCCUAGCUAGAGUCCCGGAGAGGAUGGUGGAACUCUCGGUGUAGAGGUGAAAUUCGUAGAUAUCGAGAAGAACACCGGUGGCGAAGGCGGCCAUCUGGACGGUGACUGACGCUGAGACGCGAAAGCGUGGGAGCAAACAGG